GAAUAUCGAUGAGAAAGGAUACAACAACAUUUUGUUUUUCACGAUGUCUUUAUGAUACUGUACGGUGAUGCUAAGGUAGUUUCAACCAUAACAUGGGUCAUGGACAGAGCUGUUUGUGCAGUAAUUACCAAUGUUAUUUUCGAUACGUACAACUGACUGGUAUAUGUAUUCACAUGGAGCAGUUAAAAUCCCCAGUGUUCUGAACAGAUCUUUACAAUGAGCUUGACUAGUAUUUUUGGUUAUAAUUCUUGUGGCUCUUUUGUGGAGUCUGAAAAUUGUGUCAGAACUGUGACUGACUCCCGAACAACAGGGAACUGAUAUGAGUCGAGAUUAGAAAAUAGUACAUUGAUAAUGGCUAGGCACUAGCUAACAUCUGGAUUUGCCAAAUGAAACUUGCAAAAAAAAGAACGACUGAUUGCUGCACUCUAUAAUUUAUAAAUAAUAUCACAGU